AUUCGUAGUUUGGUUUUCGUUUAAACCAUUUGCAAUUCUCAAAUAUAAACAUUAACUACGAUUUGAACUUGAAUAAUUUACUUGUGGGGUUUGUAUUACUGUUUAAGUCAAGGUGACAAAGACAAAAGUUUCUCGUAUCGAGACUAGAACAACAUGCAUUCGUCUUCACGAAUGAAACACUGAAUCUUGAAGAGCUGAGAAUAGUGUGUUAUGAAAUUUCAAUUCCGGUAACAGGUUGCAUAUUUCAGGGUAAGAUUUGUGAUCCGUUGCAAAGUAUAUCCAUAAUAAGAUAUGUGACAUUAAUAAACAAAAUAUAUAAAAGCAUAAAUUAAGGGCAUAAUACAUUGCAUUUUGAUCUCUCGCUCUCGACCUGCUAUUUCAAUGUCAACAUGAACAAGUAAUCUGUUUAAAUUGCAAAUUUAACCAAAAAAAAGAGUUGGACCCGUCACGCUCUUUUCAUGAGCUUUAUUUUCUUAAAAGGUUUGAGCUUUUUUUUUUUCCAAUCC